rnacentral:rRNA from 1 species
ACUCAAAUGAAUUGACGGGGGUCCGCACAAGCAGUGGAGCAUGUGGUUUAAUUCGACGCUACGCGAAGAACCUUACCCACUCUUGACAUCCCGAGAACCCCUGAGAGAUCAGGGGGUGCCCGGAAGGGAGCUCGGUGACAGGUGUUGCAUGGCCGUCGUCAGCUCGUGUCGUGAGAUGUUGGGUUAAGUCCCGCAACGAGCGCAACCCUUAUCGUCUGUUGGAUUUUUCAGGCGAGACCGCCGGCGACAAGCUGGAGGAAGGUGGGGAUGACGUCAGGUCAGCAUGGCCCUUACGAGUGGGGCUACACACGUGCUACAAUGGCCGCCACAACGAGUCGCGAAGCAGCGAUGCUAAGCUAAUCUCCCAAAAGCGGUCCCAGUUCGGAUAAGAGGCUGCAACUCGCCUCUUUGAAGUCGGAAUUGCUAGUAACCGUGGGUCAGCAUACCGCGGUGAAUACGUUCUCGGACCUUGUACACACCGCCCGU